CCGUUUGCAGGGAAACAGAUAGACCCACGAAGUCCAGUUGGUUAAGAGAUUCAAAUUACUUUUAAAGCAUUAUUGAUUAUUCAAGUAUUUGAGUAGUUUUUAAAAGCUUUAAAUGUGAUGCAUUUCUCUUAAUCACGAUGGAGCUCUGACUCCUUGCAAUUACUUGAUCGUUUAAGGCAAGCCUUUAAUGUGGUAGAUUCUUUUUGAGUCCUCACUUUAAGGGUUAACGUGAGAGUAUUGGCAAGGAGUUGAAUUACUUACAUUUGUAAGUGUUCAGUUUGUCUGUUGUAUUUGAGUGUAGAAUAUGUUAUAUAUGUGUUUUUGUACUCUCCGAGUGAAAACCGCAUUUUAUAAGAUGUUCAUAUACAUUUAAGUAUUGCAAAUGAUAAUCCAGAGUAAGUAGGUCGGUCAUCUAUCUGACCCGUCUUGAAACACGGACCAAGGAGCCCAACAAUUGCGCGAGUCGCUCGGUCUUGAAUAGGCCUGAGAGGCGAAAUAAACAUGAUGGUAUGAUCUCUCAAAGCCUUUCGAGGUUAGAGAGCGCAAUACCGACCUGCUUUAUUUGCUUUUUGCAAAAAAGUGGCGUUUGAGCGUAAUUGUUGGUACCCGAAAGAUGGUGAACUAUACUUGGGCAAGACGAAGCCAGAGGAAACUCUGGUGGAGGUCUGUAGCGAUUCUGACGUGCAAAUCGAUCGUCAGACCUGAGUAUAGGGGCGAAAGACUAAUCGAACCAUCUAGUAGCUGGUUCCCUCCGAAGUUUCCCUCAGGAUAGCUAGUACCAAACUCUGUAGCAUCCGGUAAAGCGAAUGAUUAGAGGUAUUGGGAUCGAAACGAUCUCAACCUAUUCUCAAACUUUAAAUGGGUGCGAAGCAUGACUUUUUUAACUAAAGUCUUGCUUUGUAAGAGUGGUACUAAGUGGGCCAUUUUUGGUAAGCAGAACUGGCGAUGUGGGAUGAACCAAUCGUAGAGUUAAGGCACCAAAUGCCGACGCUCAUGAGACCCCAUGAAAGGUGUUGGUUGCUUCAGACAGC
rnacentral:rRNA from 1 species